AUCCGGAGGGUGCAAGCGUUACUCGGAAUCACUGGGCGUAAAGCGCGCGCAGGCGGCUUGAUAAGUUGGAUGUGAAAGCCUACGGCUCAACCGUAGAACUGCAUCCAAAACUGUCAGGCUAGAGUGUGGGAGAGGAAGAUGGAAUUAGUUGUGUAGGGGUAAAAUCCGUAGAGAUAACUAGGAAUACCAAAAGCGAAGGCAAUCUUCUGGAACACUACUGACGCUGAGGCGCGAAGGCGUGGGGAGCAAACAGGAUUAGAAACCCCGGUAGUCC
rnacentral:rRNA from 1 species